UACGUAGGGUGCAAGCGUUAAUCGGAAUUACUGGGCGUAAAGCGUGCGCAGGCGGUUAUGUAAGACAGGUGUGAAAUCCCCGGGCUUAACCUGGGAACUGCAUUUGUGACUGCAUAGCUAGAGUACGGUAGAGGGGGAUGGAAUUCCGCGUGUAGCAGUGAAAUGCGUAGAUAUCGGGAGGAACACCGGUGGCGAAGGCGGCCCCCUGGUUGGAUACUGACGCUGAGACGCGAAAGCGUGGGGAGCAAACAGG
rnacentral:rRNA from 1 species